CAGUAGCCGCGGUAAUACGGAGGGUGCAAGCGUUAAUCGGAAUUACUGGGCGUAAAGCGUGCGUAGGCGGUUCGUUAAGUCUGUUGUGAAAGCCCCGGGCUCAACCUGGGAACUGCAUUUGUGACUGUAUAGCUAGAGUACGGCAGAGGGGGAUGGAAUUCCGCGUGUAGCAGUGAAAUGCGUAGAUAUGCGGAGGAACACCGAUGGCGAAGGCAAUCCCCUGGGCCUGUACUGACGCUCAUGCACGAAAGCGUGGGGAGCAAACAGGAUUAGAUACCCCCGUAGUCCCUGUCUCUUAUAC
rnacentral:rRNA from 1 species